CGCCGCGUGRGSGAUGAAGGCCUUCGGGUUGUAAACCCCUUUUCUCAGGGAAGAAUAAUGACGGUACCUGAGGAAUAAGCCUCGGCUAACUACGUGCCAGCAGCCGCGGUAAUACGUAGGAGGCDAGCGUUAUCCGGAUUYACUGGGCGUAAAGAGGGCGUAGGCGGUNCUUCAAGUCGGAUGUAAAAUCUCCCGGCUYAACUGGGAGGGAYCAUUCRAUACUGGKGGRCUAGAGGGCAGCAGAGGGAGGUGGAACUCCCGGUGUAGYGGUGAAAUGCGUAGAUAUYGGGAGGAACACCAGUGGCGAAGGCGGCUUCCUGGSCUGUUCCUGACGCUGAGGCCCGAAAGCKUGGGGAGCAAACAGGAUUAGAUACCCUGGUAGUCCWCGCYGUAAACKAUGGAYACURGGUAUGGGGGGUAUCGACCCYCUCCGUGCCGAAGCUAACGCUUUAAGURUCCCGCCUGGGGACUACGGCCGCAAGGCUA
rnacentral:rRNA from 1 species